rnacentral:ncRNA from 1 species
CCCGGCGAACUGAAACAUCUAAGUAGCCGGAGGAAGAGGAAGAAACAUCGAAUCCCUAAGUAGUGGCGAGCGAAAGGGGA